GACGAACGCUGGCGGCGUGCUUAACACAUGCAAGUCGAGCGGUAAGGCCCUUUCGGGGGUACACGAGCGGCGAACGGGUGAGUAACACGUGGGUGACCUGCCCUCAGCUCUGGGAUAAGCCUGGGAAACCGGGUCUAAUACCGGAUAUGACUCCAUGACGCAUGUUGUGGGGUGGAAAGCCUUGUGCGGCUGAGGAUGGGCCCGCGGCCUAUCAGCUUGUUGGUGGGGUGAUGGCCUACCAAGGCGACGACGGGUAGCCGGCCUGAGAGGGCGACCGGCCACACUGGGACUGAGACACGGCCCAGACUCCUACGGGAGGCAGCAGUGGGGAAUCUUGCGCAAUGGGCGAAAGCCUGACGCAGCGACGCCGCGUGAGG
rnacentral:rRNA from 1 species